AUGCCAUCACCCUCCUCCCACUCUGCCUUGUUGUGCUGUUUAUGGAACCACCGUCGGCAUAUGGAACGACGGGGAUGUGCCAAUAUAUGUGUGACACUUUAUGGUCCGAGCGCUCCCAUCAUGGCCACCCGUGGAAGCUCCAUGUCCUCCACGACGGAACGUGUAUAUAAAAAGUUGGUUUCUGCUGCCAGUGGGCUGCUGGAUGACAGAGAUACCUAUAUUUUCGUUUUUAUCGAAUACAUGCGGACAAAAAUAACAAAUUUUAAGCCAGGUGAGGUGCAGAGAUAUAAGAAGCACGUCGCUGCUCGUCUGCCCCACUAG
rnacentral:rRNA from 1 species